CUUUUCCUCACUUUUUCUCAUACCAUUUACUUCGCUUUUUCUCCUUCUCCUUCUCCUUCUCCUUCUCAUCUCUCUCUCUCUCUCUCUCUCUCUCAGCAUGAAAGAGAGAGGAAAGCAUUCAGAGGUGAAACUCAGGCAUAAGUUUCUUCAAGGCAUUCAUGAAGUUAAAAUCAUGAACAACGCCACCAUCUGCAACGCUUCCAGUGGUGGGUUUUUGGCUGGCUUCUCGUUUGGGGCUAAAAGUCCCUUUGGAAUGGUGGUUGGUUCAUGUUGAUGGGGUGCUAUCCUACCUGAGCUUUUUCUAUUAUUUUCCUUUUUAUUUUUUUUCUUACUUUUGUUUUUAAUCUUCUUGACCUUGUAAGACCUUUUCUUGACCUUGUAAGACCCCUUUUUAUGUUUAUUUAUCUUAAUUUUUGUAUUGUCAUAAAUUCUAUAUCAAAAUUUUUUGAUAUAGAAUUUCAUGUUUAUUUUUUUCUGUUUUUGCCCAACUCAUAUUCUCCUUCCUUGUCUAUCCCUCCUGAGCUAUUUGAAUAAAAUUAUUAUGCUAAUUAUUCAGAAAAUCACCCAAUUGAAGAGUCGUUAGAAGCCUUUCAAAAUCUAUGCAAGCUAUGGAUCGGAGCCUUUGUUUUUAUGCAAGUUUACUUUUGUUUGGUUCAAGUAAAAUUUGGCAGGAGAAGAAGGAAAAAAUAUCUUUUGGGUGGUAUCUGAGGCAGACUUAUAAAAGAGUACUGGAAGCACUAGUGAGAACUGAGAACAACUUGGCCUUUUGUUCGCGGCGUCAGUUUCGUUGUUUUAUAUGUUGUUGGCUGAGAAAGUAAGAGAAUAAAUAUUCUCUCAGGUCUGCGUAAAGACUUCUCCUCGUGACUGCUCUAGCUCAUGUACAAAAGUAUGUGCACUGUAUUAUUGGAGGGUUCCUCCCUCACUCUCUCUCUCUCUCUCUCUCUAAGGACCUUUUGUACCCAGAAAAGUUGUUCAUGAAAAAAAAAAAGCUGAUUACCUACAGUGAGAAGCGUUUUUUUCACACCUCAUAAAUGUCAAGACCAUACAGAGAUGUAAAGUCUUUUUUUUUCUUUUGAACUUGUUUCUUCUUUUACACAAGACAAGUGGGAUAAUACUACAUGAGCUCAAUUUGGCAGUUGAUAUGCCCUAA